GAAGCUCAUUAUGAAGCCAGUUUCCAUUUCCAAAGUCAACCAAGGCCACAAACUGAGACUUGUCUCAAAAAGGAAGACACAGAGGUAAAGGGACCUCGCAUUGGCCAUGGUCUUCUGAGUUUGGGGUAACCGGCCAGGGAAGGGAAUGUCGGCUGUGAUGGUUGGUUUUUAUGGUCCACUUGACAUGCAAAGCCACCUCGGAAGGGAGUCUCAGUGAGGAAUGUUCUAGAUUUGGUUGGCUUGCAGACAUGCAAGAUUUUCUUAAGUGAGGUGAGAAGACCCAUCCUGAAUGUGAGUGGCAGCAUGUCAUGGGCUGAGCACUUAGCUGGCAUUCACCUUCGAUGGUGAGUAUGCCGUGAGCAGCUGCUUCAGGUUCCUGCCACUGACUCUCCUGUAGUAAUGGAUUCUAACUUCAAAUUAUAAGCCUAAUAUCUGCCAAUAGGUUUUAUCAUGCUUUAGGGUUCUCUAAAAGAACAGGACUAAUGAUAAUAUGAAUGAAUAUAAAGAGAGAGUACUG
ensembl:processed_transcript